GAUGAACGCUAGCGGCAGGCCUAACACAUGCAAGUCGAGGGAGGAGCCUUCGGGCUUCGACCGGCGUACGGGUGCGUAACGCGUAUACAAUCUGCCUUUCACAUAGGGAUAGCCCGAAGAAAUUUGGAUUAAUACCUAAUGGUAUAUAGAUGUGGCAUCACCUUUAUAUUAAAGCUGAGGCGGUGAAAGAUGAGUAUGCGUUCUAUUAGCUAGUUGGAGAGGUAACGGCUCCCCAAGGCGACGAUAGAUAGGGGUUCUGAGAGGGAUAUCCCCCACACUGGUACUGAGAUACGGACCAGACUCCUACGGGAGGCAGCAGUGAGGAAUAUUGGACAAUGGUCGGAAGACUGAUCCAGCCAUGCCGCGUGCAGGAAGACGGCCUUAUGGGUUGUAAACUGCUUUUGAAGGGGAAGAAUAAGGAAUACGCGUAGUUUGAUGACGGUACUCUGCGAAUAAGCAUCGGCUAACUCCGUG
rnacentral:rRNA from 1 species